UACGGAGGAUGCAAGCGUUAUCCGGAAUGAUUGGGCGUAAAGCGUCCGCAGGUGGCAAUGUAAGUCUGCUGUUAAAGAGUCUAGCUCAACUAGAUAAGAGCAGUGGAAACUACAUAGCUAGAGUACGUUCGGGGCAGAGGGAAUUCCUGGUGUAGCGGUGAAAUGCGUAGAGAUCAGGAAGAACACCAGUGGCGAAGGCGCCCCGCUAGGCCGGAACUGACACUGAGGGACGAAAGCCAGGGGAGCGAAUGGG
rnacentral:rRNA from 1 species